rnacentral:lncRNA from 1 species
AUGCGGAGGCUGCUGGGGGCCGUAAGAGGGCGGCCGGUCGCAAAGGGGAUAGACUCGGGGGUGUCCAGGGAAGCAGCCAAACCUCUGCGAGCCGGGGAGAGUCUGGGAGGCGGCUCCCGAGGGAGCGGAGCCUCCGAGAUCGAGGCGGCCCCAGGCGAGGAGUCAGGCGCCCCUCGCAGAGAGCGAGCCCACUCCCAGCGCUCGGCACCCCGCGCGCCCCCGGCUCCCCACUCCUCUGCCUCCGUGACUGACCUGCGAGUCCGGACGCGCCGACCUCCCGGACUGCGCUCUGGAGCUCGGGUGGGACGGGGACCGCGCCGAGCUCCUCGAGGGCGUCCGCGUCUCGGCGAUGCGCGCCCGCGGAGCCGUCCGCGGGAAUGCCGGGCGCAGGGGCGGGCAGCGGGCGCAGCCCGAGUGAGCCUGUGGCCGCUGAGCCGGCCGCACCGCGCGUCCUCCCUCCGCCCCUCCGGUCCGCACAACCAAUGGAGGCGGGCGGGCCCACUCCCCGCCGCCCCCCAGCCGCUGCUCGGGCGGGCGUUUGGCGCUAGGACAGCAACUCGGCUCCCGCGAGGGAGGAGCUUGCGCCGGCGUUGGAAAAUCCUGGAGGAUGAGGAGGCGUUUACGCAGGGAGCAGCAUCUGGGGAAGGCAGGAAAAAAGAAGAGCAAAUGAUGUUCAGGUAAUCUUGGAGGAAUGCUGGCAGCGUGCGGAGAAAGAUCUCUCUAGACUCGAUUAGAGCUGUACCUGAUGAAGAGAGAACAUGGAAAUUUGCAAGCAAGGCUGACAUGAAACAGAGCAAUAGGAACAGGAAAACUACCUGGGAGCAGAGGUUGCCAUGAGAAGGGCACAGUUCUGAGGGCGAGCACCCCUAGGAAGGAAGCUGCAGGAGCGUUAAUGGCCCCCACACCAGCUGGAAGACUCUGCAGUUUCCUGACCCGUCAGUAG